GUUUCUGAUCACUGGGGAGGUCUUGGCUGGGCUAACACCUUCAGCAAAGUCAAUCACUCUUACACAAAGCAUCUGUCAGGACUCUGCUAGGAGACACUUACAAACUGUGUGGACUGUGUGUUGCCCAUUUGGGAUGCAUUCAACCCAAAUUAAGACACAGAGGAAAAUAAGGAUGACAGCCAAUAAUACCGUUUAAAGUCUGUAGGUGAGCAUGAGACUUGACCUCUCCGAGCCUCUGUGAGAAGGUAGAACUAUUUCUGGCUCAGAGGUUGUUCAGCGGCACCCAUCUGAAACAUAACCUGCUCAACAAGGGUUUGGGGUUAAUGGUUAUCGUGAGCACAGAGGUAAGGGAAAAAUAUGCAUCUGGGUGACCAGAAGAAACCAUUUUCAGCUGUUCCUCCUUUUGGGCAUUCAAGCUGACUUAUGGGGGUCCAUGGACCACCAUGCAGUGUAUGUGCAUACCUAGCAGUCCGCCAUGCAACAAUGGCAUGAUCAACUGCCAAUUACCCAAUGGAAGGGGCAUGUACUACAGACAUGCUGUUGCCCCGAUGAACAAAACACAAGUACCCCUGACAACUACCAUCACCUCUGAUGAACAAAACGUAAAUGCUCCUGACAACUAAAGCAAGCCCCGACGAUCCAAACAAAAGUGCGUCUGACAACCAACUGCUGCCCCUGGCAACAAAAACGACACUAUGAAGAGGAUAAAAACCAGGAGUUCUGACAUAGAACAGGUACCCCCUCCACCAAACUGCAGCUCUGUGGGUCAAUGAGACAUUGCUGACCAACUUGCUGCCUCCCUACAGACCAACGAGACGCUGGAUCCCUGGUGGUAACUAUCUCCGCUUCAUAAACGGUUUGCUAGGAUUUCUUUCUUUACUAUUGUUGAGAAGCAGGUUGCUCGGCAGCACGUAGCUACUGAUUUACUAAUGAUUUAUGAUGUAAUGAUGUAAUCCCUAGAUACGUGGAAUGUGGUGUUUCCAGUGUGUUCUAGUAUAUUCCAGCAUAUCCAUAGUAUUCUGUAUCCAUAGUGUUGUAGUUAACAACAUAUCCCAUAUAUGGAGAUAACUCAGGCAACGAUAUUGUUAGCGCGCGCAUUGCAUAGAGCUUGUAUCCCUGGACCCUGUAUCCCUGGAAGCAUAUAUGCUAUAUAAGAUGGUGUGUUGCUACAAUAAAAUUGGACGCAUCUCAUAUUGAGUUGAUCUUGCGUUCCCCACGCGAGUACCGGUAGGGCAACCCUUUUGGGGAAACUUGGGGCGUUCCCCAACAUACUAUCACUAACUUCCCCAUCUUCCCCACAUUCCUUAGCUGCUUAGAAUUUGGAAUAAAUCAAUUGGACAGCAUUUGGCCUCUUGCUGCCUUGGUCUUCUUCCAAGUAUAAAUAUACAUCAAAUCAUCUCCUCCAAUAAUUGGAGCAAGACAGUCUCCACACUACACCCUGAGCAUAAGAACUCGAGGAGCUUACGGUGUUGAUUUAAUGAGUUGAGAAGUCCAGCACACUGGCCUAACUCUACAUAGACUUUGCAGGGGUGAAUUAUCUCCAUGAGAUCAUCCUCCACAGUCCUUAAUCUGCUUCUGAUGCCAGGAAAGACCCUUCACUCUAUUGGGAAGUCCUACUAGCUAUUCUUCCUAUUAAAAAUAAUGUUACUGUUAAAAAUAACUGUCUUCGCAGUGCUGAAGGGUUUUAACUUUCAUCAUUUCACGCAAUUUUUUUUUUCCUUUCCUCUUUGGUAGUUCUCCAGAGUUCUCAGAUGGGUCGGAAAGACUUCUGUAUAUGGACCUCAGGAGGUAGUAUCACCUCCAGCCAUUAAAUAGGCCUUUGUUUAAAGCUAUUAAUAGUCUGUCUGCACUGGUGUACCUAUAAGUUACUGCAAUACCAGCAGCAGGUCUAGAUAAGUUAUAAGCAAAUGUAUUCAAAUCCAAUAUAUUCCAUUCCUUUUAGCUUAAAGAAACAAAAAGCAUGACCGAGGACUGGCCACUUAAAUCAUGGCAUCUUCUCUGCCUCUGCCUAAAGGCAAAAUUUGCUUUUCACUCUCAAUCAGAAAU